rnacentral:rRNA from 1 species
UAAAUAAAAAUUAUUUAAUUUAAUUUUCUCGAUUUUAAAAGAGCUAAGAAAUUAUUUAUUUUAUUGUAACAUAAAUAUUUAAAAUAAUUUUUUAGUAAUGAAAUGUUAUUCGUUUUUAAAUAUAUCUAGUUGUUUAAGAAAUAAAUUUAAUUUAGUUAUUUAUUUAAUAUUAAUUUAAUUAAUUAAUUUAAUAUAAUAAAUAUUAAAUAUUUUAAGGGAUAAGCUUUAAAAUAAAUUUUUAUAAAAAUAUUUAUUAAUAUAAAAAAAUGUAGAAUUAGAAUUAUUUAUCAUUAAUAGUAUGUUAUAAUUAAUUUUUAUAUAAAUAUAAUUUAUAUAUUUUUUAAAUUUUUUAUUAAACUUAUAUAUAAAAUUAUAUAUUAUAUUUAAUAAUGAUAAAAUUAGUAUAAUUUUUUGUAAAUUUAAUUUAUUUAAUAAAGGUUAAGUAAAGGAAUUCGGCAAAAAUUUUUUCGCCUGUUUAUUAAAAACAUGGCUUUUUGAUAAUAAUUUAAAGUCUGACCUGCCCAAUGAAAUUUGAAUGGCCGCGGUAUAUUGACUGUGCGAAGGUAGCAUAAUAAUUAGUUUUUUAAUUGGAAACUGGUAUGAAUGGUUGGACGAGAAAAAAGCUGUCUCUAUUUAAUUUAAUUAGAAUUUUAUCUUUAAGUAAAAAAGCUUAAAUAUAUUUAAAAGACGAGAAGACCCUAUAGAGUUUUAUAUAAUUAAUAUAUUAAAUUUUGAAGAAUUAAUAUUUUAUUGUUUUAAUUAUAUUUGGUUGGGGUGACUAAAAAAUUGAAUUAACUUUUUUUAUUAAUUAAACAUUAAUGUAUGAAUAUAUGAUCCAUUAUUUAUGAUUAAAAGAUUAAAUUACCUUAGGGAUAACAGCGUAAUUUUUUUUGAGAGUUCUUAUCGAAAAAAAAGAUUGCGACCUCGAUGUUGGAUUAAAAUUAACUUUUGGUGUAGAAGCUAAAAAUGUUAGGUCUGUUCGACCUUUAAAAUUUU